UAUAGGAUCAGAAUUGUUUUUUAUUAGAAAAAUAAUUUAAAGUUAUUAGAUAGUUUUGAUAUUAUUAUAAUUGCUUAAUUUAUUUUAUUUAUUAAGAAAAGAGUGAAUUAUAUUUUUCUUUUUGUUCAACAUGUAAUUAAUCCGAGCCAAAUAUGUAAAAAAAUAAAAAAUCCGAACAUGGAAACAAUGCUAAAUUGAGCUCAGAAUACAAAAUCAACAGUUAAAUUGAACUUUGUUCUUUGUUUUUAUAUAGUUCAAAGUUCAUAGGUUCAUUUUUUUAUACGAAAAAUUAAAAUUAAGUGGAGACUUCUAGAAACACCUGCAGAGUAGGGGCUGUACUGUAAUUUGAUACGGAAUGCAGAACUUAAAAAGACAAUAAUCUGAGGACCCAUAGCGCAAAAGUACGAACCAAUCGGUAGUCAAACAGUUAAAGAAAAGGUACAAUUUAGAAAUUUUAUGGAUAUAAAAGAAGCUUGCAAACAGGCUUCUCAGGAUCUCGCCCGUGAGUCACUUAUUGAGAUUUCUUAUUCCCUGCCGGAAAAGGUCCAGACCCCAGAUGUGGGUGAAAUUUCCGUUGGUGAGGACAUGAACAAUGAUGGAGCUGACAGGUUUAGAUCUGAACUAAUUUCUAUUUCUUACAGCCAAUCUCCUGAUAUUACAUUGUCACCUGUAUCCUCCGAGAAGCAGGACGGUUAGCAUGGACCUUCUUCUUUUUUUUCCUUUUCAUCCUUUUUUUUUUUUUUUUUUUUGUAAUGAGCUGUUAAGGACUGACGUUGUUGUGAAAUGUUCUUGCAACAUAAUAUCCUGGCUCAAAUGUGCUCUAGAACUUACUGUAUUUUAAAUGUUUUUGCUACUGACGCUGGGUAGCCUGUCUCUUGAUGUCAGUUUAGAUAGAAGACAUGGAGUAGUUUUGUAUACAUAUAUGUUGUCUGUCACAAUAUAGAAAUGUUACAAAAUGAAUGUGAUUUGGUAUCGUGCUAUAA